rnacentral:misc_RNA from 1 species
UUUUAUGUAUGUUACAUCAGAACUUUUGACCGGGUAGACCGAUUUCGACAAAUUUUGUUUUAAUCGAAAGGUGGUGUGUGUCAAUUGGUCCCAUUUAAAUUUAUUUGAGAUCUAACAACUACUUUUCGAGUUAUGAUCCAAUAAUGCGUUUUUACUUGACGUUGUAUUAUACCGCAUAACUUUCUACUGGAUGUACCGAUUUUGAUAAUUCUUUUUUUGUUGGAAAGGAGAUAUCCCAAGUUAGUACCAUGAUAAGGAAACCAGGAUCUAAUGAUGGGAUCCCAGAGAAAUCGAGGGAAACUCUUGAAAAUCCGCAAUAACUUUAUACUGGGUGUACCGAUUUUGAUAAUUCUUUUUUUGUUG